CACUUUCAACAUAUGGGAACGAGCUUGUAAGUCUUCUAGUUCGUCACGUCUCUGCGCCAACUUGCCGUCUCCUACAACCAUGUCACAGAAACACAUCUCUUACAAACAUAUCACUUCGUUUCUAGUCUGUUUACUACGCUGUGGAGGAAGCCAUCUCCACCAUCUUCUUCCGUCUCCCUUUCUAACAAUUAAACUUCUUGCAGAUUGUACUCCAUAAAAUCAAGAUCAAGAAGUAGAAACCUUGCUAAAGCUCUAAGGAGAUCUCCUUGCGGAAUUUGUUAGUUUUAGGAAUUUCAGAAGAGGAAAAAUGGUGGCAUUGAAACCGAUCGUGGUGACCACAUUGAUGUUCUUCGGAAGUGUGUGUGCUGUGACUCAUCCUGUUGGUGGACCGUCAGGCUGGAAUCUCAAUUCCGAUAUCGAAGGCUGGACUGCUGAAACAAUUUUCGCAGUGGGGGACUUCCUUGAGUUCCAGUACAAGCCGGUCCACAAUGUAUUGGAAGUGCACCUCUUGGAUUACCGUAACUGUAACGCCGCUCACCCUAUCAGUACACACGACAACGGAUUGACGGUGAUCAAACUGACUCAACCAGGACCCAGGUUCUUCAUAUGCGGCAAGCAAUAUCAUUGUAGAAGGGGCCUGAAACUGCAGGUCGAAGUACUCCCUCAGCUCUCCAAUGACAACAACAAUGGCACUACCACUCCUACAGCUAUGGGCCCCUCCUCUUCCCCCGCCACUCAGGGCCGGCUUAAGCCAUAGGCCACUAUGGCGUAUGGCCUAGGCCCCUUUUUUUUACUAUUUAACUCUUUUAAAAGCUAUAUUAAGGUCCUAAAUACUUUUUUGGGCUAGUCUAAAAAAAUGGUUGAGCCUCAAAUCUGCUUCAGCAGAGCCGACUUAACCCAAAAAACUAUUUAAGACCUUAAUUUUUUUUAAAAAAAUUAAAUAUUAGUUUUAAAAAAUCUUUACGACUUUUUGUGUUGCAAGUUGUUAAUUAAAGUUUUAUAUUUAAAUUUUGAUAAUAUAUUUUUUAAAUUGCUAAAAUUAUUGAAUUAUUUAAUGUUUUGUAAGAUAUUAUUGAGUAUAAAUAAGAUUUUGUUCAUUUUA